rnacentral:tRNA from 1 species
AAAAAUUUAGUUAAAAAAUAACGUUAGUGUGUCAAACUAAAAUCAUUAGAAAUAAUAAUUUUUU